rnacentral:piRNA from 1 species
UACCAUAGCAGGGAAAUUAUACCAAAUG